CCAGACUCCUACGGGAGGCAGCAGUAGGGAAUCUUUCACAAUGGGCGAAAGCCUGAUGGAGCAACGCCGCGUGCAGGAUGAAGGCCUUCGGGUUGUAAACUGCUUUUAUAAGCGAGAAAUAUGAUGGUAACUUAUGAAUAAGGAUCGGCUAACUACGUGCCAGCAGCCGCGGUCAUACGUAGGAUCCGAGCAUUAUCCGGAGUGACUGGGUGUAAAGGGCGUGUAGGCGGGGGCGCAAGUCAGAUGUGAAAACCACGGGCUCAACCUGUGGCCUGCAUUUGAAACUGUGUUUCUUGAGUACUGGAGAGGUAGACGGAAUUCCUAGUGUAGCGGUGAAAUGCGUAGAUAUUAGGAGGAACACCAGUGGCGAAGGCGGUCUGCUGGACAGCAACUGACGCUGAGGCGCGAAAGCGUGGGGAGCAAACAGGAUUAGAUACCCGUGUA
rnacentral:rRNA from 1 species